GACGAACGCUGGCGGCGUGCUUAACACAUGCAAGUCGAACGGAAAGGCCCUGCUUUUGUGGGGUGCUCGAGUGGCGAACGGGUGAGUAACACGUGAGUAACCUGCCCUUGACUUUGGGAUAACUUCAGGAAACUGGGGUUAAUACCGGAUAGGAGCUCCUGCUGCAUGGUGGGGGUUGGAAAGUUUCGGCGGUUGGGGAUGGACUCGCGGCUUAUCAGCUUGUUGGUGGGGUAGUGGCUUACCAAGGCUUUGACGGGUAGCCGGCCUGAGAGGGUGACCGGCCACAUUGGGACUGAGGUACGGCCCAGACUCCUACGGGAGGCAGCAGUGGGGAAUAUUGCACAAUGGGCGGAAGCCUGAUGCAGCAACGCCGCGUGCGGGAUGACGGCCGUCGGGUUGUAAACCGCUUUCGCCUGUGACGAAGCGUGAGUGACGGUAAUGGGUAAAGAAGCACCGGCUAACUACGUG
rnacentral:rRNA from 1 species